rnacentral:rRNA from 1 species
GAUGAACGCUGGCGGCGUGCUUAACACAUGCAAGUCGAACGGUGAAGGCGGAGCUUGCUCUGCUGGAUCAGUGGCGAACGGGUGAGUAACACGUGAGCAAUCUGCCCCUGACUCUGGGAUAAGCGCUGGAAACGGCGUCUAAUACUGGAUACGAGCUGCGAAGGCAUCUUCAGCAGCUGGAAAGAACUUCGGUCAGGGAUGAGCUCGCGGCCUAUCAGCUUGUUGGUGAGGUAACGGCUCACCAAGGCGUCGACGGGUAGCCGGCCUGAGAGGGUGACCGGCCACACUGGGACUGAGACACGGCCCAGACUCCUACGGGAGGCAGCAGUGGGGAAUAUUGCACAAUGGGCGAAAGCCUGAUGCAGCAACGCCGCGUGAGGAACGACGGCCUUCGGGUUGUAAACCUCUUUUAGCAGGGAAGAAGCGAAAGUGACGGUACCUGCAGAAAAAGCGCCGGCUAACUACGUG